GACGAACGCUGGCGGCGCGCCUAACACAUGCAAGUCGAACGAGCGAGAGGAGGUUUCCUUUCUCAAGCGAGUGGCGAACGGGUGAGUAACGCGUGAGGAACCUGCCUCAAAGAGGGGGACAACAGUUGGAAACGACUGCUAAUACCGCAUAAGCCCACGACCCGGCAUCGGGUAGAGGGAAAAGGAGCAAUCCGCUUUGAGAUGGCCUCGCGUCCGAUUAGCUAGUUGGUGAGGUAAUGGCCCACCAAGGCGACGAUCGGUAGCCGGACUGAGAGGUUGAACGGCCACAUUGGGACUGAGACGCGGCCCAGACUCCUACGGGAGGCAGCAGUGGGGAAUAUUGCACAAUGGGGGAAACCCUGAUGCAGCGACGCCGCGUGGAGGAAGAAGGUCUUCGGAUUGUAAACUCCUGUUGUGGAGGAGGAUAAUGACGGUACUCAACAAGGAAGUGACGGCUAACUACGUG
rnacentral:rRNA from 1 species